rnacentral:rRNA from 1 species
AGGAUGUUGGGUUAAGUCCCGCAACGAGCGCAACCCCUACGUUUAGUUGCUAACGCGUGAAGGCGAGCACUCUAGACGAACUGCCGUUGACAAAACGGAGGAAGGUGGGAUGACGUCAAAUCAUCAUGCCCCUUAUGUUCUGGGCUACACACGUGCUACAAUGGCCGGUACAGACGGACGCAAAGCCGCGAGGUGGAGCAAAUCCUAAAAAGCCGGUCUCAGUUCGGAUUGCAGGCUGCAAUUCGCCUGCAUGAAGUCGGAAUCGCUAGUAAUCGCAGGUCAGCAUACUGCGGUGAAUACGUUCCCGGGCCUU